UUGGGGAUCACGUCAUUGCAGAUGGUGCGGAAGUCGGAGGCUUUCCUCAAUGAGGAGAGCUCCUCGUCCUUGAUGGAGAUCUUCAGGUCGGGGCUGAUGUCAAGUUCAGCUAGCAGGAACUGGAGAGAGACACGGGGCGUGGAAAGACAUGAAGCAUUCAGGCUUCACUGAGGACACCAGUGUAUUCGUUACCACGUGUGUUCAUUGAGGGAGACAGACGAGGAAAGAGCUUUGGAAUCCAAGAGACCUGGGUUCCAGUUCUGACCUUCCCACUAGCUGUGUAACCCUGGAUGAGCUACUUAACUUCUCUGAGCCUCACUUUCCUCCUGUGUGAAAUGGUUAGUAACAGUACUUCACUGGGAGGUUGGGAGAAAUAAGUAAGGCAAAUACGGACAACGUCUAACACUGUGGCUGGUACAAUGCCACUAUUUAAGCGACUGACUUACUGUUAUGAGUGCCCUGGACCAACCCCUGAUUCCCUUUCUCCCCCCCCCCCCCCCACCCACCGAAGAUCUUCUAAAGCAUGCGCUGACGGCUUGGGGUAAUUUAAAAUCAAAAGCUGAAUCUGAAGGAUGCAGAGAAUUGUACGAGGAAUUAAGUGGGACACAGGGAUUUGUUCUCAUUUAUCACCUGUUCUUUAAGUGUAGGGUGGGGUAAGCCACACGCAACCCCUGCUCAGGACCAGGCUCAUAUGAGGAAUGUAGUAAAUACCUCUUGGACUCAGAGUUCUAACUCUCUUCUUUGUCUCUGACUCCCCCUGGCUCUAAUCCAUCUUCCAUGCUGUUCUCUGCUAUCUUUCUAGAACAGAUCUGUUCACGUGACUCCCAAGUUCCAGACGUGGCCAGGUUUGUUCCCCGUGGCAGGAUCUGAAAUCUCUCCCUCCUCCCCCCAGCUCAACUGCUUGGCUGCAGCAGGCCAUCUCUUUCUUAACCCGAAAGUUCUGGUACGUGGAGGAUGUGGGAGGAUGUCAAGGCAGGAGGGGGAUUUGGGAGAUCAUUGUGGUUCCUCAUUUAACAGUUGAGGAGAUUCAGCCCCAGAGAGCAAUGGGGGCAUAUGCAAGGUCGCACAGCCGAUGGCGAUCCUGGAAUUUCCCCACUGAGCCAAUCCAGGCAGCCUUGGGGGAUUUGCCUGUGGUUUGGAGAAGGAGUGGGGUAUUGGCGGCAAAGGUGAGCGAGGCAGAGGAAGAGAGCCUUCGGGGUGGCCCCAGACUGUCAGAAGCAUAUAGUUACUGGAGACAUGGCUCUACUGAGACAAUCGGGGUGGCGUUGCCUGAGCACCCCUGAGCCUUUGCUGGGGAACGUGGCUCUGCUCUGCAGCUCGGGUGCUGGUACUCGGAAAUCUCGAAUUUUGCCUGGACUGAACCCUGCAAUGCCAUCAUUCCCUGUCACGGCGUGUGGGAAAGGGAGGAGAUAUGAGGAAUACCUUACUGUGGGAUGGGAAGGAUUCGAUGAAUCCACAAACUGGUCUAGAUCAGGCCCUAUGACAGCAGGGGCCACUCAUUUUCAGGGACUUAGGUCCCUUUGCCAAAAAUCACAGCGAAGGUGCGACGCCUUUUGCGUGACUUGAAUUGACCACUUUCUUGUCCUCCUACCUCGUAGAGCAGUUCUACGUCCUCCAGGGAGCUCUGCAGGACGGGAUUCAGGGGCAUGGAUGAGGAUCUCUUUGGCCGAUGCGCAGCAGGAAAGAGCAUGGCUGCAAAAGACAGGAGUUAGUUCGAGAGGCUGCUUGUGCACAUGGCCUUCUCCCCACCCCCGCUGACCUGGAGGUGGGCCGGCCCGUCUUGAAAGUGACUGACUCCACGUGGUGGUGGACGUGAAGCAGGAAAAAGGGGCAGAUGACUCUGGUGCGCCCCAGAGGGCUCCCAGGCAUGUCCCAUGUUACUAUUUCAGACCAGUGAUUUCAAACCCGCUGCUCAUCAGAAUCAUCCCAGAAAGCUAUGAAAAACUAGAUGUCUAGGGAUAUGGAUACCUUAGGGAAUUUAUGUAAAGCAAAAUAAAACAGAACAGAAAUGAGCGGACAGCCCUCCCUGCUGCCCCCCGCCCCGCCCCCUGUUCAACAAAUGAGUUCUCUAAUAACACCGUUCCCUUUGUUAAUACAAAAUGCUGGUUUAUAUUUAUUGACAGCCCUUUUAAUCAGAGGAUCAGACGUCUGGCUGUUCCCCAGCCAUCUGAAAUCGAGCUGCCAAGACGCUGGACACAGGUGACAAAGGAAAGGCAGAGAGCCGCCACAAGCCCCUGACACUUGGCCCUAGGGGUGUGUGAAGCAGAGCUCAGGGCUUCCCCUGGGGGCGGGCUGAGAGGGGCACGUGGCGUGCAGUCGUUGGUUCGCCAGUGUUUUUGGAGAUACUGCAUUUGGAGGUGGUACCUGGAGGAAGACGGAUGAGCUGAGGGGUGGAGGGGGUGGCAGAAUUAGGAACUGACAGAGGGCAGGUGAAGAAGACAGACUAAGGUAGGGUAUGGGUGUAAGCGUUAUGAAUCCCAGUUCUCCAGGAUGGUCUUGGGUAGGAGCAGACAGCCCCGUUCACCCCACAGCCCCACCUUGUACCAGGGCGUUGCGCAGAAAUGAUUGGUAACCCUGCUGUCUGCAAAUAAACGAAGGGACCCUCUUCUUCAAGACACUUGCUUGUGCCCUGGCAGAAAACUGGGGAACCAACUGUAAACAUCCAAGCCGUGUCCAGCCUACUCUUCCAGGAUGCGAAUGUGCUCGCGAGGACCACUCCGCGCCACCAGGGGACGUCGGAGACUUCCACGUCUCCUCGCGCAAAGGUCUCCUGUAUGGCUGGUCGCAGGGCAGGAAGACCAUGGGCUUCUCCCCAGUUCCCUGACUCCCUGGACAAACGAGCCUUCGGGGGGAAAUUGAGGCUCUGUGAUACAUUGGACAGACCAGCACAGAGCAAAUGACUCACUUGCUAAAGGUUAUGCCCGUGCACCAAGAAGCCCGGGAACAGAGUCCAGAGACUCGAGCGUCAUGUGUCGGGGCCUGUUCUGUCCACGUCUUUUGCCGAGGGACACAUCUGGGCUGCGGACCAAAGUUGUUAAAAUGUGGAGCUCAGAUACCCUAACUGUGCACGAGCCCACUGUGUGCUCAUCGGCGUGCUUUGGGCUUUCCACACGUACCUUGUGAGACUGGUUAGCUCCCCUCAGCCCCCCAAAUGGAGCUCUGGCAGGCCCUGAGGGCGCAGGGAGUUGGGCCAGGCGUGUCCGGCUUCUAGGCUGGCCUCCCGAACCACAGCCUGUGCAUUAGGAGGGUGGAUGUUGUCAUCUUUCUCUAAGAGACAAAUUAAGGAAGGCCCCCAGUGUCGCGCAGGGGCAAGGGGCCGAAUGUAAUGCCAAGAUCUCUUUGCUCUCCUUCUAAGUGUCGCCUCCAACGUUUGUGCGUAUCAUGAGCAGAGGUGUGUGUGGGUGUGGGUGAUGUUACCAGACGGAAAAAAAAUAAAAUAAAAGGAAAACGCUACAUGAAUUAUUCGUCUCUGGGCAACAAUUGCUUCACAGCUCGGCUCAGAGAGCUGGCAAGUCCCUGAUCUCAAGCUUAAAAAUGAGGGAAUAAGAACCUCAGAUAAGCGCGGUGGCUUUGCUCCCCGCCCGUGUCACAUCCGUUUGCCCUGUGCUUCUCUGUUCCACACUGGCUGCUCCUUUCCCGACACUCUCCCUGAGAACCCGGAGGCUCAUCAUCACCUCUGCCGUGCCCCCGCUGCCAUGCCCGUCCUCAUUCUAUUUUGGAUCUCUAGAAACACCUAUGAGCCUGACUUCUCUUUCCAGCUCUCUUGGGGAGAGAGACCUCAGUCCAUUUCAAGCAGUGGAGACCGUCGGGUUGAGCUCUGCACGGAGUGGUCCUCACUGCUGCUCCCUCGGUCCCCAGCGGUGAUCAACUGUAAUUGGCUGGAUGGGUGACCAGUAUCUGCCACCCGGAGCCGGUCCUGGGCACAGAGAAGAGGUGCCACGCGGUCCCCAGGGGAAGGAAGUCGGCUGUGAGCGAAAAGCCUUGCCGGGUUCCCUCCUCUCCGGGGUGGACUGCGGGGCCAGUGGGAGUAGCCGUCUGGCACACACGUGAAUGCUAAGGGUCACCCUUGCUCUCCUGCCACUGGGCCGGCUCUCCCCAGCUGGAAAGAUGUGCCCAGUCUAGCUCAGGAGCCGUGUGGAGACCUCCAUGUGGCCAGCCCGUGGCCAGGGCCCCUAGUCGGGUCCCCCAGGUGGCAGGCCUUUUGCAAGCCAGCACCCAGAGCCCCGGGAUACUGGUGUUCGUCCUGAUUUCUAAUUGCAUUUGAGAAAGAAUAAUGAGCAUCAAAUAAAUACAGAGCAACUUACCCCUGCUCCACCUGUGGGACACCGCCGCCUGAGCAUCAUAACACAACAGCAGAAGCAGCAGCGUGUUCCAACACAUCUUUUGCUCCAAAAAGGUGACACUUGUCCUCGAACCCAAUGGGACCUCAGGAGCUACAGGUAUUCAGCAUGACCUCAGGCAAGCGAGUCUGAAGCAGCCAGACAUGAAGCAUUCCCAGUGAGGUUUAUCUCUGACACUGUUCCAUGCCGAACACAGAGCUACAUCAUUCUAUGUGCUUCUGGCGGGGACCCCCAUAAAUCCUCAUCUGCAGGAAAGGAAUUCUGUCGCACUUCAGGCAAUAGAAGAUAUACCACAGGCUGAGGGACACCAGCUGUGAGCUAUCUGAAUGAAUGAUAAGACGCCGGAAUGCGAAGAGGUGUGACCAUCUUCCUGGAUCUGCCUCCUGUGUUGUGAUGCAGCUCUUGGUUUGUGGUUCCAUGUAACAUGGCUAGAAAUGCUGCAACUGACUGGUUUGUUGAAGCUGGAUUUUGAACACCCUCUAAGAGUGAACACCAGAAAAUUCCAAAUUUACCAGGACCUCAAGCACAUCAAGACACCAGACGACUUGGAGGGCUCCUAUUUACAGCAAACUGCCUCUAAUAACAAUCUCACUCAGUAUGUACGACAGAAAACGGAGCUUACAAAUUUCAUACAAGGGCUACUUAAAGUGUGGUCUCUAAACCUGGUACCAGUCUGCAAAUGGUUAGGAGUCCAGAAUAUUUUCUACAUCACUAAGUACAGUGCUCAGUUCGGCUAACUUGUUUUUUCAUCGCAAGAUACUCUUGAUGAAGGAGGCUGGAUUGAUUUAUUCUAGCCCAACCUUCUUAUCCAUCAUGAACUGGUAACAGUUUGUGAGCCACAAAAGACCCCGAAUAGCCAAAGCACCCUUGAAAAGGAAAAACAAAGCUGCAGGCAUCACAAUUCUGGGUUUCAAAUUAUAGUACAAAGCUGUAGUAACUAAAAUAGUAUGGUACUGGCACAAAAACAGACACAUAGAUCAAUGGAAUAGAACAGAAAACCCAAAAACGAACCUACAACUAUAUGGUCAAUUAAGCUUUGACAAAGCUGGAAAGAAUAUCCAACGGGAAAAAGACUAUGUCUUCAACAAAUGACGGUGGGAAAACUGGACAGCAAAGUGCAAAAGCAUGGAACUGACCACUUUCUUAUACCAUAACACAAAAAUAAAUUAAAAAUGGAUGAAAGACCUAAAUUUGAGACCUGAAACUAUAAAAAUCCUAAGACAGAACAUGGUAAGUAAUUUCUCUGAUAUCGGCUAUAGCAACUUCUUUCCCCAGAUGUCUCCUUAGGCAAAAGUAAAAAUAAAGUACUGGGACUUCGUCAAAAUAAAAACCUUCUUCACAGUGAAGGAAACCAUCAACAAAACUAAAAAGCAACCUACAGAAUGGGAGAAGAUAUUUGCAAAUGACUUAUCUGAUAAAGGGUUAGUAUCCAAAAUAUAUAAAGAACUUCCAAAGCUUAAAAACCAAAAAAUGAAUCAUCUGAUUAAAAAUGGGCAGAAGACAAGAACAUUCUUCCAAAGAUGAUAUCCAGAUGGCCAACAUCACUGAUCAUCAAGGAAAUGCAAAUCAAAACUACAAUGAUAUAUCACCUCACACCUGUCAGAAUGGCUAAAAUCAACAACACAAGAAACAAACAGGUGUUGGUCAAGAUGUGGAGAAAGGGGAGCCCCUUUGCACUGUUGGUGGGAAUGCAAACUGGGGCAGCCACUCUGGAAAACAGUAUGGAAGUUCCUCAAAAAGUUAAAAAUGAAACUACCCUAUGAUCCAGCAACUGCACUACUAGGUUUUUACCCAAAGAAUACAAAUGCACUAAUUCAAAGGGAUACAUGCACCCCGAUGUUUACAGUAGCAUUAUCUACAACAGCCAAAUUAUGGAAACAGCUUAAGUGGCUACUGAUUGAUAAAGAUGGGGUGCAUACAAUGGAAUAUUACUCAGCGAUAAAAAAGAAUGAAAUCUUGCCACUUGCAACAACAUGGAUGGAGUUAGAGUAUUAUGCUGAGCAAAAUGAGUCAGAGAAAGACAAAUACCAUAUGAUUUCACUCAUAUGUAGAAUUUAAAGAAGAAAUGACCAAGAGAGGAAAGAAAAAUACAAACUAAGACACAGACUCUUAACUGCAGAGAAUAAACUGAUGGUUACCAGAAGGGAGGUGGGAAGGGUGAAGGGUGAAAUAAGUGAUGGGGAUUAAGGAGUGCGCUUGUUGUGAUGAGCACUAGGUGAUAUAUGAAGUAGUGUUGAAACUGAUGUUCACUGGAUGUUCACUGGAAUUUUAAAUAAAAACUUUAAGACAAUUA